GCGGGGCCUGCGAGGCGUGGCCCCAGGACCUGUUCCGGAAGGCGUGGCAGGGAAGACGGGCACGGGGAGGCGGGGCCGAGGCAUCUUGCUGUGGCGGUGUGGCCCCGGAGGCGUGACCCGAGGGGCGUAGCCGGGGCGGAGCGGCCGGAGAGGCGGGGCUAGGGGAGCCGGGGUCAGAAUAGUGGGGGCCAGAGGAGCAGGUAGAGCCGGGUGCUGGAGGAGAAGGGGCUUUUCCUGCGGGGCCUGGGGAGCCGGGGUCCCUGCCAGGGGAACCAGGGGACCGGGGCUCUCACCGGGUUGGUGAGGCCUGGGACUCAGACUUUGUUUCCUGGACAAAUCAACUCGAGCAUUUUGUCUUCCUUUUUUUAAGACGGUGUUUCCUGCGCAGUUCAGGAGCUGGGCUUGAACGCACUUUGUAGCUCCAAUUCGAAGGGAUCCGCGGGCCUAGGGCUCCGCAGAGCUGGGAUCACAGGCAUGUGCCACUGUGCCCAGCAGGGCUUUUGUCUUGUCAGACAAGUCCGGAUUUUUUUUUCCCUAAUUUUCCACCCUUCCCUUUUCUGAUAAUAGACACUGGCUGCAAUGGUUACAAAUUUAUCCUGUGUGGCCCCGAGGGAAGUGAUCACCUGUGGAGAUCAGAAGAUGGUGUGUGGUUCUAUUCAGAGUGUCAGGUCCCGAGAACGAGGUACCCAUGGAUGAAUAUAAAAGUAAGA
rnacentral:lncRNA from 1 species